UUAGUUUAUAUAUAUGAAAUACUAUAGUUAAAUGACAACUUCCAACAGGUUUAAGAUCUGGACAAAUUGGAGUUCAAAUUAAGCCAUAUUGUAAGGUCUGUUAAGGAUUCGGUUAUCUGAGUGCUGCAAUCGAAAGGAAACCAACAAUUUUGUGAGUCCCCAGAUGGAAGAUUUGGAAACUUCUGAUUUUAACCUCCUGGAACCUGAUCUUUCUGUUUUAGAGAGAUCAGCUAUCCAUGCCACAAGAAUUCUUUAAGCUUUCUUGAAGAAGAGAGAAAGGGACUGCUGGCAGAGAACAGAUAUAUAUAUGUUGCUGUUUUUUUUUUUAAUACUAUUAAGUAGUCUUGACCGUCAUCUGAAAAAGAAAACCACUGGGCAUCAUUCUGUUUGUGUGGGAGCUCUGUCAGCUGGAACGAAUGCUGUACAUUGAAAUGUAUUAAUCUCUGAAGCCAAACCAACAAGCCGGCGUCUCUUUGCCACAUCUACAGACACUCCAGGCAAGAAGGAUAUCCAUUUAUUUGCAGUCUUGAUCCUCAAGAACGAGCGCUAGCGCGAACGCGUCGGAGCAUGGGUCAUUUUGAUGGUCAAGGAAGCACUUCAGAGCUCCUAGCAGACAAACGAAUGGAAUAGGGCUGGAUUUAAAAAAAAGUUGACACUUUUCUCCCUCACUUCUGAGGCAGCUGUUUUAAACUGUUACUGUCAAGAGUUUUCCAUUUUUGUCUCAAGCCUGUUCUUUGCCUUUUCUCCACUUGAUCAGUGCUGGAAAAGUAUGGAUGUCUUUCCAACACAUCAAGACCCUAGCCGUGUCUGUUUUCUGUGUCUUUGACAGCUGUUCAAAAAAAAAAAGAGUCCAGCCACAUUAAAAGGAGGCUACCGCAUAACAGCGAAAUUGUCCAAUUUCCCACACUCAGUCCACACCCAUGGUACAGUACAUCUGUCAGCUGUCUAUACAGGCCCAGUGUGACUCUAAAGGCCUGUCUCACAAAUAUAGAUGAGUUAAUCUGCUUUGUUUUCUGGAUGUUGCAUUUGAAUUAUUUCAACAGCAAGGCUGGGUGGUACUGUGAUCGGCACUGCUGCCUCACAGAUCCUGGGUUCGACUGCAGCUUUCUGGGAGCUGGCCAUGUUCUCCCUGUGUGCGUGUGUGGGGUUUUUUUUUUCCCACCAGGCGCACCAGUUUCAUCCCACCUGAUUAAAAUGCAAAGGCAGUAUUUGAUGUCUCCAGAUCGUGUGCGAGAUGCACACAUGAAUUCAGUAGUUGGGUCAAAUUCGAAUAAGGGUAAAACAAGCUGUCAGAUGUAGAAAAAGGGACGGCGCACUUAAAACUUUGGCGUUAACUCGCCUGGCUGAAGAAAUGACUGUGCUGGCCAAAGAUCAACACUGUCACAUCUCUCCCCCCUCCUUGCUUUUGAGAGAUGAGCCAGUGAGAAAAUGCUACAAUGGUGAUGUUGGGGUGGAGGAAGAGCUCUAAAAGAGCUGUACACUGUACGCUCAGAGUUGUGGGCAGCCAAGGAAGAAUUUAUACACAGGGGAGCUUAAGUAUGCCAUUAGAAUUUGACCUCCUCCCAAAUUAUAUCUGUUAAAUAACACCAUUAGUAUCACGGGUGAACAUUUCAGUAUGUUGUGGUUGUGUAGAAUUCUCCAGCAUUCCGAACUUGAGCCAUUCGUAAGAGCUUGCCUGACUGGCUUGAUUAGGAAAAGUCAAAAUGCUCAGCCAUGACUUUCAAAUGCAAAGCAGGUUCUGAGGUUCCUUUUGACUGCCAAAGCAAGUGGCCAUGUUUAACAUUUGGAUUAAGAUUUAAUAAAACGCUAAAAUAAGAUGUUU